rnacentral:rRNA from 1 species
GUUGAUCCUGGCUCAGAUUGAACGCUGGCGGUCAGGCUCUAACACAUGCAAGUCGAUUCGGUAGCACAAGAGCUUGCUCUCGGGUAGACGAGCGGCGGAACGGGUGAGUAAUGUCUGGGAAACUGCCUGAUGGCAGGGGGAAUAACUACUGGAAACGGUAGCUAAUAAACCGUCGUAGCCGGAUCGUACGUACGUAGCGCUACGUACGAUCGUAACGGCGAUCGGCUACGGCAUAGCAAUACGCGAGCUAGUAGGUGGGGUAACGGCUCACCUAGGCGACGGAUCCCCUAGCUGGUCUGAGAGGAUGACCAGCCACACUGGAACUGAGACACGGUCCAGCACUCCUACGGGAGGCACAGUGGGGCAAUAUUGCACAAUGGGCGCAAGCCUGAUGCAGCCAUGCCGCGUGUGUGAAGAAGGCCUUCGGGUUGUAAAGCACUUUCAGCGGGGAGGAAGGCGUUAAGGUUAAUAACCUUGUCGAUUGACGUUACCCGCAGAAGAAGCACCGGCUAACUCCCGUGCCACAGCCGCGGUAAUACGGAAGGGUGCAAGCGUUAAUCGGAAUUACUGGGCGUAAAGCGCACGCAGGCGGUCUGUCAAGUCGGUAUGUGAAAUCCCCGGGCUCAACCUGGGUAAGGUUGUGCCCUUGAGGCGUGGCUUCCGGAGCUAACGCGUUAAGUCGACCGCCUGGGGGAGUACGGCCGCAAGGUUAAAACUCAAAUGAAUUGACAAUGCUAGCUACGUAGCUAGCUAGCUAGCAUAGCUAGCUAGCAUAGCUGGGGGCCCGCACAAGCGGUGGAGCAUGUGGUUUAAUUCGGAUGCAACGCGAAGAACCUUACCUGGUCUUGACAUCCAGAGAACUUUGCAGAGAUGGUUUGGUGCCUUCGGGAACUGUGAGACAGGUGCUGCAUGGCUGUCGUCAGCUCGUGUUGUGAAAUGUUGGGUUAAGUCCCGCAACGAGCG